GCCUGUUUAGCUCAGUGGUAGAGCGCGCCACUCGUAUGAUGUUUGGCUAUGUACAGCCAAUCGUCAUUGAUUACGUAAUGGUGAGGCCGGUUGUUCAAUCCAGCCAACAGGCA